GAUGAACGCUGGCGGCGUGCCUAAUACAUGCAAGUCGAACGAAACUUCUUUAUCACCGAGUGCUUGCACUCACCGAUAAAGAGUUGAGUGGCGAACGGGUGAGUAACACGUGGGCAACCUGCCCAAAAGAGGGGGAUAACACUUCGAAACAGGUGCUAAUACCGCAUAACCAUAGUUACCGCAUGGUAACUAUGUAAAAGGUGGCUAUACUACCGCUUUUGGAUGGGCCCGCGGCUGAUUAGCUAGUUGGUCGGGUAAAGGCUUACCAAGGCAAUGAUGCGUAGCCGAAUUGAGAGGUUGAUCGGCCACAUUGGAACUGAGACACGGCCCAAACUCCUACGGGAGGCAGCAGUAGGGAAUCUUGCACAAUGGGCGAAAGCCUGAUGGAGCAACGCCGCGUGGGUGAAGAAGGUCUUCGGAUCGUAAAGCCCUGUUGUUAGAGAAGAAAGUGCGUGAGAGUAACUGUUCACGUUUCGACGGUAUCUAAACAGAAAGCCACGGCUAACUACGUG
rnacentral:rRNA from 1 species